CAGCCGCCGCGGUAACACGUAGGGUGCAAGCGUUAAUCGGAAUUACUGGGCGUAAAGCGUGCGCAGGCGGUUUGUUAAGACAGAUGUGAAAUCCCCGGGCUCAACCUGGGAACUGCAUUUGUGACUGGCAAGCUAGAGUAUGGCAGAGGGGGUAGAAUUCCACGUGUAGCAGUGAAAUGCGUAGAGAUGUGGAGGAAUACCGAUGGCGAAGGCAGCCCCCUGGGCCAAUACUGACGCUCAUGCACGAAAGCGUGGGGAGCAAACAGGAUUAGAUACCCCGGUAGUCCCUGUCUCUUAUACA
rnacentral:rRNA from 1 species